rnacentral:rRNA from 1 species
CUUGCCCGCUGGCGGCAGGCCUAACACAUGCAAGUCGAACGAGUGGCGGACGGGUGAGUAAUGUCUGGGAAACUGCCUGAUGGAGGGGGAUAACUACUGGAAACGGUAGCUAAUACCGCAUACCAUCAGAUGUGCCCAGAUGGGAUUAGCUAGUUGGUGGGGUAACUGCUCACCAAGGCGACGAUCCCUAGCUGGUCUGAGAGGAUGACCGGCCACACUGGGACUGAGACACGGUCCAUACUCCUCCGGGAGGCAGCAGUGGGGAGUAUUGCACAAUGGGCGCAAGCCUGAUGGAGCCAUGCCGCGUGUAUGAAGAAGGCCUUCGGGUUGUAAAGUACUUUCAGCGGGGAGGCGUUACCCGCAGAAGAAGCCCCGGCUAACUCCGUGCCAGCAGCCGCGGUAAUUC